rnacentral:rRNA from 1 species
ACCAAUACACAUUUCUUCCCUAUUGACAGAGUUUUACGACCCUAAGGCCUUCAUCACUCACGCGGCGUCGCUGCAUCAGGGUUUCCCCCAUUGUGCAAAAUUCCUC